AACGAACGCUGGCGGCAGGCCUCAAACAUGCAAGUCUAGGGGGUGUAGCAAUACAUCACCGGCGGACGGGUGCGUAACGCGUGGGAAUAUACCUAUCGAUUCGGAACAACUGAGGGAAACUUCAGCUAAUACCGAAUACGUCCUAACGGAGAAAGAUUUAUCGUCGAUAGAUUAGCCCGCGUUCGAUUAGCUAGUUGGUGGGGUAACGGCCCACCAAGGCGACGAUCGAUAGCUGUUCUGAGAGGAAGAUCAGCCACACUGGGACUGAGACACGGCCCAGACUCCUACGGGAGGCAGCAGUUGGGAAUCUUGGACAAUGGGGGGAAACCCUAAUCCAGCCAUGCCGCGUGAGUGAUGAAGGCCUUCGGGUUGGUAAAACUACUUUCGUCGCACGACGAUAAUGACGGUAGUGCGAGAAGAAGCUCCGGCUAACUUCGUGCCAGCAGCCGCGGUAAU
rnacentral:rRNA from 1 species